rnacentral:rRNA from 1 species
CCUACGGUGGCUGCAGUGGGGAAUAUUGGACAAUGGGGGCAACCCUGAUCCAGCCAUGCCGCGUGUGUGAAGAAGGCCCUCGGGUUGUAAAGCACUUUCAGUGAGGAAGAACGCCUGGUGGUUAAUACCCAUCAGGAAAGACAUCACUCACAGAAGAAGCACCGGCUAACUCCGUGCCAGCAGCCGCGGUAAUACGGAGGGUGCGAGCGUUAAUCGGAAUUACUGGGCGUAAAGCGCGCGUAGGUGGCUUGAUAAGCCGGUUGUGAAAGCCCCGGGCUCAACCUGGGAACGGCAUCCGGAACUGUCAAGCUAGAGUGCAGGAGAGGAAGGUAGAAUUCCCGGUGUAGCGGUGAAAUGCGUAGAGAUCGGGAGGAAUACCAGUGGCGAAGGCGGCCUUCUGGACUGACACUGACACUGAGGUGCGAAAGCGUGGGUAGCAAACAGGAUUAGAUACCCGGGUAGUC